rnacentral:rRNA from 1 species
UACGGGGGGGGGCAAGCGUUGUUCGGAAUUACUGGGCGUAAAGGGCUCGUAGGCGGCCAACUAAGUCAGACGUGAAAUCCCCCAGGCUCAACCUGGGAACUGCGUCUGAUACUGGAUGGCUUGAAUCCGGGAGAGGGAUGCAGAAUUCCAGGUGUAGCGGUGAAAAUGCGUAGAUAUCUGGAGGAAUACCGGUGGCGAAGGCGGCAUCCUGGACCGGCAUUGACGCUGAGGAGCGAAAAGCUAGGGGGAGCAAACGGG